rnacentral:rRNA from 1 species
GAUGAACGCUGGCGGCGUGCCUAAUACAUGCAAGUCGAGCGAACAGACGAGGAGCUUGCUCCUCUGACGUUAGCGGCGGACGGGUGAGUAACACGUGGAUAACCUACCUAUAAGACUGGGAUAACUUCGGGAAACCGGAGCUAAUACCGGAUAAUAUAUUGAACCGCAUGGUUCAAUAGUGAAAGACGGUUUUGCUGUCACUUAUAGAUGGAUCCGUGCCGCAUUAGCUAGUUGGUAGGGUAACGGCUUACCAAGGCAACGAUGCGUAGCCGACCUGAGAGGGUGAUCAGCCACACUGGAACUGAGACACGGUCCAGACUCCUACGGGAGGCAGCAGUGGGGAAUAUUGCACAAUGGGCGAAAGCUUGACGGAGCCACACCGCGUGAGUGAAGAAGGUCUUCGGGUCGUAAAGCUCUUUUGUUGGGGAAGAACAAAAGUGUGAGUAACUAUGCACGUCUUGACGGUACCUAAAGAGAAAGCCACGGCUAACUUCGUG